GAUGAACGCUGGCGGCGUGCCUAAUACAUGCAAGUCGAACGCUGGAGAUCUAGCUUGCUAGAUCGAAGGAGUGGCGAACGGGUGAGUAAUACAUAAGCAACCUACCCACGAAGACUGGGAUAAUCUCUGGAAACGGGGACUAAUACCGGAUAGGUAAUCGGAAGGCAUCUUCUGAUUAUUAAAGGUUAAAAACACUGGUGGAUGGGCUUAUGGCGCAUUAGUUAGUUGGUGAGGUAACGGCCCACCAAGACGAUGAUGCGUAGCCGGCCUGAGAGGGUGAACGGCCACAUUGGGACUGAGACACGGCCCAGACUCCUACGGGAGGCAGCAGUGGGGAAUAUUGCACAAUGGAGGGAACUCUGAUGCAGCGACGCCGCGUGAACGAAGAAGGCUUUCGAGUCGUAAAGUUCUUUUAUAUGGGAAGAUAAUGACGGUACCAUAAGAAAAAGCCCCGGCUAACUACGUGCCAGCAGCCGCGGUAAUACGUAGGGGGCUAGCGUUGUCCGGAAUCACUGGGCGUAAAGGGUUCGCAGGCGGAAAUGCAAGUCAGGUGUAAAAGGCAGUAGCUUAACUACUGUAAGCAUUUGAAACUGCAUAUCUUGAGAAGAGUAGAGGUAAGUGGAAUUUUUAGUGUAGCGGUGAAAUGCGUAGAUAUUAAAAAGAAUACCGGUGGCGAAGGCGACUUACUGGGCUCAUUCUGACGCUGAGGAACGAAAGCGUGGGUAGCAAACAGG
rnacentral:rRNA from 1 species